GUCGAACGAGAAAGCCCGCAAGGGUAAGUAAAGUGGCGUACGGGUGAGUAACACGUGGGUAAUCUACCUUUUGGUGGGGAAUAACGCUGGGAAACCGGCGCUAAUACCGCAUAAGCUCGGAAGAGGAAAAGAGAAAUCUGCCGAAAGAGGAGCCCGCGGCUGAUUAGCUAGUUGGUGAGGUAAAGGCUCACCAAGGCAAUGAUCGGUAGCCGGCCUGAGAGGGCACACGGCCACACUGGCACUGAAACACGGGCCAGACUCCUACGGGAGGCAGCAGUGGGGAAUCUUGCACAAUGGGGGAAACCCUGAUGCAGCGACGCCGCGUGAGUGAUGAAGC
rnacentral:rRNA from 1 species